CCUACGGGAGGCAGCAGUAGGGAAUCUUCCACAAUGGGCGAAAGCCUGAUGGAGCAACGCCGCGUGGGUGAAGAAGGUCUUCGGAUCGUAAAACCCUGUUGUUAGAGAAGAAAGUGCGUGAGAGUAACUGUUCACGUUUCGACGGUAUCUAACCAGAAAGCCACGGCUAACUACGUGCCAGCAGCCGCGGUAAUACGUAGGUGGCAAGCGUUAUCCGGAUUUAUUGGGCGUAAAGGGAACGCAGGCGGUCUUUUAAGUCUGAUGGGAAAGCCUUCGGCUUAACCGGAGUAGUGCAUUGGAAACUGGGAGACUUGAGUGCAGAAGGGGAGAGUGGAACUCCAUGUGUAGCGGUGAAAUGCGUAGAUAUAUGGAAGAACACCAGUGGCGAAAGCGGCUCUCUGGUCUGUAACUGACGCUGAGGUUCGAAAGUGUGGGUAGCAAACAGGAUUAGAUACCCCUGUAGUC
rnacentral:rRNA from 1 species